UACGAAGGGGGCUAGCGUUGCUCGGAAUCACUGGGCGUAAAGCGCACGUAGGCGGCUUUCUAAGUCAGGGGUGAAAUCCUGGAGCUCAACUCCAGAACUGCCUUUGAUACUGGAGAGCUUGAGUCCGGAAGAGGUGAGUGGAACUCCGAGUGUAGAGGUGAAAUUCGUAGAUAUUCGGAAGAACACCUAUGGCGAAGGCAGCUCUCUGGGACGGUACUGACGCUGAGACGCGAAAGCGUGGGGAGCGAACAGG
rnacentral:rRNA from 1 species